CUGAUACAGCUUCUUCUUUAACUUCUUCUUCUUUAACUUCUUCUUCUUUAACUUCUUCUGUGUUUCAGAUCUUCAGCUCUGCUUCAACUUCGACACCAAGAACUUUAAGAUCUUCUCCGGUUCUAAAGAAAACCAGUUUGGAUACACAGUCCAGCAGCACGAGGCGGGAGGACGCCAGUGGUUGCUGGUUGGAGCUCCCUUCGAGUCCACAGGGAAGCAGCAGACUGGUGAUGUGUUCAGGUGCCCGCUGGACACCAGAAACUCUGCAAACUGCACGAGACUGAAUCUCGGUAAACUCUCUCUGGACAACGUGUCUGAGAGGAAAGACAAGAUGAGACUCGGGAUGACGCUGACCUCCAACCCGAAGGACGGCAGCUUUGUGACCUGUGGUCCUCUCUGGUCCCAUGAGUGUGGAAGCUCCCUGUACAGCACCGGGAUCUGUUCCAGGGUCAGCCGCAACUUCAGACUGUCCCACACCAUCGCCCCGGCCCUGCAGAGUAAUCAGA